rnacentral:SRP_RNA from 1 species
GGUCGGGUCCCAUGCAGUGGGUUCGCCGGACAACGGGUCAGGCUGGAGACAGAGCAGCCCAGCCGACGCAUUCAGGUGCCGUGGAGUUACCUGACCGUC